GUGAGUCAUCGAAUCUUUGAACGCACCUUGCGCUCCUUGGUAUUCCGAGGAGCAUGCCUGUUUGAGUGUCAUUAAAUUCUCAACCUUUAUCAGCUUUUGUUGAUAACGGCUUGGAUAUGGGGGUUUUUUUUUGCUGGCUUCUUCACGAUGAUGGUCAGCUCCCCUUAAAUGCAUUAGCCGGUGCCCCGCGUGGACUGUCUAUUGGUGUGAUAAUUAUCUACGCCGUGGACAUCUGUCAAUCAUAUGGGUUUGCACUGCUUCUAACGGUCUGUUUGUUCAGACAAUACAUGACAAUUUGACCUCAAAUCAGGUAGGACUACCCGCUGAACUUAAGCAUAUCAAUAAGGCGAGG
rnacentral:rRNA from 1 species